rnacentral:rRNA from 1 species
GAAACAAUUACAACUAAACCAAGCGUUUCAUAAAUGAAGCGAACGAAAACAAAGAUUUGCCAAAAGGAAGAAAAUAAGGUAAAUUAAUAAAGUCGCUUCGAGAGAAGAGACGAAGACAGCAGAAUAAAAAGCCAAGCAAAGAAAAAAUAAAAAAAGUACUUGCAAAGCGAAAGAAAAGCUGGUAACAUAUUUAAAUGUCGUCAAGCGAAAGCGAAAGCGACAAAAAACAAAUUCGAAAAAGUUCUUGACAAGAGCUUGAGGGUUUGAUAAAAUAUAAAAGCUGUCUGGUUUAACCGGACAGAGGUAGUACUUUGAAAACUGAACAAAGUUUCGCUAAAAGUGUGCGGGUGUAAAAACCCAAACAAGAAGCGAAGUCAAUUCGCAAGCAAUAAAUUUGAGACAAAGAUCUUAAAUAAUCGAAUGAGCAAUCAUUCAAACUUUUUAAAAACGAGAGUUUGAUCCUGGCUCAGGACGAACGCUGGCGGCGUGCCUAAUACAUGCAAGUCGAGCGAGCUGAACCAACAGAUUCACUUCGGUGAUGACGUUGGGAACGCGAGCGGCGGAUGGGUGAGUAACACGUGGGGAACCUGCCCCAUAGUCUGGGAUACCACUUGGAAACAGGUGCUAAUACCGGAUAAGAAAGCAGAUCGCAUGAUCAGCUUAUAAAAGGCGGCGUAAGCUGUCGCUAUGGGAUGGCCCCGCGGUGCAUUAGCUAGUUGGUAGGGUAACGGCCUACCAAGGCA